AUCCAAAACCAACUCUUUUUGUGCACUGUGGUGGAGAAAGUAAAUAAAAAGAAUGAAGUAUGGGUUUCUUUCCCCUAUACAUGACAAGGCUCCUAUGGGAAAGGGAAGUCUUGAUAAAGGAAAUGCCAAUGGUGUUAAGCAUAGUAAGUGUAUUAUUUUUCCUCCCAAAGUGAGUAUGGUUGCUGAAUCUCUAGAAAGAAGAAACCAGAAUUGGUAACCUCUCUGUCACUGUUCAUGCAUGCUUAUACUUGUAUGUAUUUGUGUGAAAUUGUAAAUUAUCCUAUGAUCUUUACAGUGUUUCUUUCUACAAUUGUGAUUGAUUUUGCUUCCGCAGGAUUGUUCGAGCAAAAGUUGCAAAUGAUUUGAUCAUACAAGUUGGGAAUUCCAUUUUUCAGUUACAUAAGGUGCACUGAAUAUGUUUUCUCUUAAUCUACAUAACCCUAUUGGAAUUUGGAAAUUGAUAUCUAUUUGCAGCAUUACUAUUACAUAGGUAACUUCAAAUUUAAGUCUUUUCUAGAGUUGCUUGAAGUUUUGUGUUGACAUUAGACCAUAUCACACUCUCUCAUAGCCUUUCAACAAGAUUAUGGACAUAUCAUUAGAGUUGAUGACUACUGAAGAUUAGAGAGAAUUCUAUAGGUUUUAGUGAUUAUAAGACUCUAGCAGAGAUCGAGGUAAAAACAACUUGGAAUCAGAAAAUAAUUCAGGUCAUUUUUCCCACUUCUCUCUUUUAAGCCUUGAAAAUAUGCAUGGAGUUAUAUUGGUUCUUUCCUGAACUAUUUUUUUCCAACUUAUUCAAAUAAAAAUGUUCAAAGAUCUUUCUUUUUUUCAUUCUCUUUUGAGGAUAAAUCCAUGAUCAGAUUCUAACUUCAUAUAUCAUUUAUGGGUAGUCAGCUUCCUUUGGUAUCAAGAAGUGGAUAUUUGAAUAGAUUAGUAUUCCAAAGAAUUUGCAUUAGAGACAAAAAUACAGUGUCUAAGAUCCAAAUAGACAAUUUUCCCGGUGGAGCUGAAAUCUUUGAGUUGGUGGUGAAAUUCUGCUAUGGAUGGAAAGUUGAUCUGACAGCAGCCAACAUCGCUCCAGCAUACUGUGCUGCAUAUUUCUUAGAAAUGAGUGAUGAUCUUGAACAAGGAAAUCUUAUUUCUAAGGCAGAAACUUUCCUAAGUUUUAUACUCCUGACAUCCUGGAAAGAAAUAUUUCAGAUUUUCAAAAGUUGCGAGACAAUUGCUUCAUGGGCCAAGAAGUUACAAGUCUUGAAACGAUGCUCUGAAGCUAUUGCUUGGAAGGCUUCCAUGGACCCAAAAACAUUUACUGCUGGUGAUGAUGAUUCAUUGGGUUAUAAUGCUCAAUCAAAUAACGCAAAAAACUCACAACAUAGUUGCAUAGCUGAGAAUUGGUGGUUUGAGGAUGUUUCAUUUCUUCGAAUAGAUCAUUUUCUUGAAGUCAUUGAAUCUACAAAAAGAAAAGGGGUAAGAUCAGAGCUUGUUGGAUCAUGCAUAGCUCACUGGACAGAAAAAUGGAUUUCUCAAAUUCCUUUUGGACAACACAAUCAGCCAACACACCAGUUAUUGAAAGUUACCGCAGAAAGUUUGAUUAAAGUACUUCCAGAGGAAAAAAACUCAGUUUCCUGCAAUUUUUUGCUUCACCUUCUCAAGUUGGGAAUUAUGAUGAGAAUUGAGUUUGAACUGUUAAACAAGCUAGAACAAAGGAUAGCUCUUAUGUUGGAGCAGUGUUCUGCUUCAGAUCUCUUAGUGAGGAAUUAUGGCAAUACUGAUACUGUUUAUGACGUGAGAAUCAUUACAAGGGUGGUUGAAUCAUAUGUUUCUUCUGUGUUAAAUAAUCCAGCACCAAGAAUAUAUGUUGUUGGAAGGUUGGUGGAUGAGUAUCUUACGAUGAUUGCUAAGGAUGAGAAGCUUCCAAUUAAACAUUUUCAAUUGCUUGCAGAAGCAUUACCAAAAGAUGCCCGAUAUUGUGACGACAACCUCUAUAGAGCCAUAGACAUGUAUCUCAAGGUAUGUAGCAAGUUGCCAUCUCUUAACAUUUUAUUAUGUUAAAGCUGAUACUAAGGUACGUAGAACAUUGAGUUCUGGACUAAUGCAUGAGAAGAAUUAUUUUACUUUGAUACUUCAUAGCUCAAACGUGCCGAUAUACUGAUGACGGCUAAAAGUUUUCUGUUCUGUUAUAUUAAAACUUCAGAAAAUGUAAAUCCAGUCCAUAUAUUUUGUUUCCAAUUGCAUCUCACUAACUAGAGCUACCUGCAACUCUGUAUUGGUACUUGACCAAUUAUGCAGGCACAUCCUAAGCUAACAGAAGAAGAAAGAACUAGUGUGUGCAAAGCCAUGGACUAUCAUAAACUAUCAGAAGAAGCUCGCCAGCAUGCGAUGAAGAAUGAAAGAUUGCCCUUGUAUAUCUCAAUGCGACUUGCCCUUCUUGAACAAGUAAAUAUGACAAAAUCAUCGACAAAUAAUAGAUCCAACUACAGAAGAACAAAGACUCAAACUAUUAUCAGAAUAAGCAAGGGUUUAGAUAAGGGAUGCAUGACACCUCAGAAAGAAUUAACUAUGAUGAAGAAAGAGGUCGAGAACAUGAAGGUGCAACUAAAUGCAUUGCAGAAGUGUAAAAUUCAGCUUCAGAGACAAAUAAAAGGAUGCACUAUCUAGAAAUAGGGAUCCAGGUUCUGUCAAAGCAUUGUAUUAGCAUCUUUUAUGUUGCUUUGUUUGAAAGUCCAUUACAAUACCUGCAGAAUGUUGUAGAUUGUGGAAGAAAAUGUGACAUUUUUAUUUUAUGCUUCACGAGAAGAUGGUAUGUUCUUAUCUGAAAUGCAAUUAUAUUAGAUAAUGACAACUAGCAAAUUUUAUUCAAAA
rnacentral:misc_RNA from 1 species